GACGAACGCUGGCGGCGUGCCUAAUACAUGCAAGUCGAACGAGAGCGCCCGGUGCUUGCACUGGUCAAUCUAGUGGCGAACGGGUGAGUAACACGUGGGUAACCUGCCCAUCAGAGGGGGAUAACAUCCGGAAACGGAUGCUAAAACCGCAUAGGUCUUCGAACCGCAUGGUUUGAAGAGGAAAAGAGGCGCAAGCUUCUGCUGAUGGAUGGACCCGCAGUGCAUUAGCUAGUUGGUGAGGUAACGGCUCACCAAGGCCGUGAUGCAUAGCCGACCUGAGAGGGUGAUCGGCCACAUUGGGACUGAGACACGGCCCAAACUCCUACGGGAGGCAGCAGUAGGGAAUCUUCCGCAAUGGACGCAAGUCUGACGGAGCAACGCCGCGUGAGUGAAGAAGGUUUUCGGAUCGUAAAACUCUGUUGUUAGAGAAGAACAAGUGCUAGAGUAACUGUUAGCGCCUUGACGGUAUCUAACCAGAAAGCCACGGCUAACUACGUG
rnacentral:rRNA from 1 species